GGCGGGGCUGAGCGCGAGACACCGCGAGAGCCGCGUGCGCAGGCGCGCCGGGGCGGAGGCCGCCGUGGGCCGCGUCGUCACGCGCCGUGGAGGGUGCAGGGCGGGCGGAGUCAGGGGACUGGAGUAGUCAAGUCGGCUUGCCCGCUCCCCAAGUCUCGCGUGAUCACGUGGUUGCCACCCAGGCGGAAGUGUCCCACAGCUCUUUUCGGGUGAGGGACUUGCAAGGCAUUGCUAGAAAAGGCAUGAGUUCUGGUGACACUCCAGUCCAGAGUUACCUGGGACCGACUCUUGUCAGGUGUUUCUGCGUCUCCCGGCGCUAGAGAAGCUAGAAAAUAUGGAAGGGGUGGUGGCGGCUGCCUCGCUAGCAAUGGCUGCGGAGGACCGGUCACGUGUCCCCGCUUCCGGCCCCGGGAGCGCUCGGACUCGGGGCAGAGUUUUAAAUGCGGAGUCAUCUCGGGGCUUGAGCUAGUCUUUGGACUUCAAGCUCUGAGGCUUUCGUUGCUCUCCUGAAGGAUGGGCCUUUCGCCUGCAAAAUUGUGUACGUCUUCCUAAACGGGAAGAAAGCUGAUUUGGGCCCACUGUUAACACAUUUCAGAAUUAGUAACCCCUGAACCGGCUGAGUUGUCUCCACCAGUACAGCUAAAAGUUUCUGGGCUUAAGUUUCCCCAAGGUUCGGCCACCUACUAGCCUACUAGUACUUUAAGUGACUUAUAACGGUGGUGGAAAUGCAAAACAAUAAGCGAAACACGAGCCACUGGAUUAUGACAGCACGAUAACGUUUACCCCUCCCCCUCUUUUUAAAAUACUGCCAAAAUUCUGUAACCACAUGGCCUGCGUGUAAUGACUAACAUCUGAAAUACUUCCCCUUGACCCACCAACUCUCGUGGCCUCUCGCUGCGAGAGAGCGGGCAAAAGAAGUCCAUGUCUUGGAGUAUAAAUCAAAAGGCGUUGACCUGCUCUGCUCAGGCAAAUCCCGCCUUUAUGGCAACAUUUCACGCAGAACAGAGAAUUCUGUUUAGAAGGCAGAACUCACAGUACCUAAUUCUCUUUGUCCCUGGGAAUUUUGAGAGACAUGGAAUGUAGUCUGGACAAGUGAGGGAGUUUAUCUUCAUAAACCAAAACGAAAUGUCAAAGUUGUAUGCAACUGAAAGCAUAUUUGGAAAAUCUCAAAGACAACUACCAGAGAGAGGAAAAGAUGCAACGUGCCAGGACCUGAAGGAAGAAAUUAGAGAAAGCAGAGGCCAUUAAUACUCAGAAAUGGGAAGUUGUCGGUAUGUUUGUGAUGGGCAUAGAGAAUAUCAAUUAAUUUUGAGAUUUCUUUUAACACAGCUGAUCCUACGUUCUUGCCUUACCAGUUGCAUUUCAGUUCCCUGCACGGCUUCCUGCGUGAAGGCACUUAAAAAACAGUCCUAGGAAAUCAUAGUGUUCUUGAUACGUAAAAAUAGGGUUCCAUCACCUUUUGUAAUUCAUUUAAUAUUCAGGUGACCAUUAGCCCGAAAAGUUAUACUAAACAGUACCACUACUGGUACUGGCUUAUUAGGACUUCUUUUUACCUCUUUAUGUAUACAUACUACCAAGUAUUUGCACUUGGAAUCCCUCACCUUCCACCUCAUUUUCUUCCCUAACCCCUUGGUAUUCUUGACUAAAUGAUAAAAUGUUUUGCCAUCAGUUAAGAUAAAGACCACUGCAUACAAAACAUGGGUUAGAAUCUAUGAGAUUUAUUCUCCAUGGACUUAUUCCCAAGGGGAUUAGUCACCAUUUUGCUCUGAUUGAGACUGACCUGUGAAGUAACAAAAUACAGUUACUGGAUUAAAAAGACAGAAAACCCAGUUCUGGACUCCUUAUGACAUACUUCAUACUUCUCCGAGGCUCUGAGAUGGCCUCUGUUUUUACACACUUUAAAUUGUAACAGUGCUGAAGCACUUGACUAAUACUGACCCAGAUCUCUUCCCUUCUUUCUCCAGUGUGCCUGGCAUUUAACUAACCACCAUGGAUUCCAUCCAAUUUACUGUUUUCCAUUCCUCAUUCAGUUGUAAUAUGCCUUCAAUCAUUAUAUAUGUGUGCCAGCCAGUUUAGUUUCAGAAAGAGACAUUUCCUGUCUUGCAACAAAAUACUGGGUCUGAAUAAUUUGGAGACUACAGCUGUUUAAUUCACAAAACUGGAAAUCUAUGAAUAGAAAGCUCCUCCCAUGUAAGACUAGAUUUAGCGUUAUACUUAAAUUGUUUUUAUCUGAACUUUUUCUUGGGGGAGGGGAGCUUAAAUAACUUUUCUAAUUUUAGCAGCUCCUUGUACCAUGUUUGAAACAUUUACACUGGAUUUUCAGUUUGUGAACUCAUACUUGGUAACAGCCGUGUAUUUAAACAGAUACAUAUAGUGAUCUCUUUCUUUGUAAUGAAUCUUUUUUUUUUUUUUACUUCUAAGUGUUUUGUACUGGACAAUAAAAGUUACUUCUUUCUUUUAAUGUUAAUAUUCUGACUAAACACUGGAUAACUGCCAAACAAAAGAAGCAACGGAAAAAUUUAGUGCAUAAAUUUUAAUAUACCAUAAACAAAAUGACACCAAACCUUAUAUGUCCAAACAUUAAAAUGUUUUACUGUCCAAAUGACUAUUUCAGCAACAAUGCCAAGAAAGAAAAAAAAUCUAAAAAGACUGCUCAUGGAAAUUAGCUUGAACUAAAAUCUCAUUAUGUAACUUACCUUUAGUUUCCAUGUUCUUAAAUAUGGAUAGAUAGAUAGAUAGAUCAAUAAAGCUAAUUAUCUGGCAUAUUUAGGAAUCAUGCAGCCCUUAUAUACUCAAUAGUACUGGGCACUUUUGGAGAAAACAGAAAUGAAGAGGGAAGAUCUUGUAACUCAAGCUUAACAAUCCUAAUGAAAGCCCCUAUUGUAUGGUGCAUAAUGACAGCAUUCAUUCAAGAUAUUAAAAGCACUGUAUUUCAGUACUACCAAAAAAUUAUAUUCAGAAUUCACAUAUUUUUUAGGCCUUUACAAAAACAAAACAAAAACACCUGUUGAUUUCCACAUGCACUGAUGUUUGAUGCAGUGUAUAAAAAGAAAUUACUGGCCAUACCAAUUACUUUUAUACAUGUACUGAGAUUUUUUUAACUUUUUUUUAAUGUUCUCUUCCUUCUAACUUACAGUUUAAAAUUGCUACUUCAUGUCUUAAAACAGCAACUAACUUGCAAUCAUUUUUUGUAUAUGGAAAUAUAAGCCAGUUAGUGGUGGCUUAGCAAAAAUAACUUAGUGCAGAAUCUGUGCAGUCAGGUUUGACAAUGCCAUUACCUUACUGUGAGACCUUCUGCAGUAACUAAACUUCUCUGUGCUUGAUAAGAUGAAAUAUGGAUUGUUGGGAAGAUCAAAGGUACUAGAAAGUGCUUUGGUAAGUAUUGGGUGGAUGUUUUUAUUAUUAAUGGUAAGUUACAUUAACAACAUCAAAGCAAGGGAAAGAUCUUUUUAACUCACUUUAUAGAACACUCCUAUGAGAUUUUAAUAAUGCUGCCAGUGGUUGAUGAUUAAUUUAUCCACAAAAAGUUUGGCUAAAUUUUGAUAACUUAAGUGGUGAGUAUACAGAGUAAUUUUUGUAUGUAAAUAUAAUAUAUGCUGUUGUGAGAUAAGAUUCCUUAAGCUAAGGGGCACCUGGGUGGCUCAGUCGAUUAAUCCUCUGACUCUUGAUUUCCGACUCUGGUCAUGAUCUCAGGGUCAUGAGAUUGAGCCCCGUGUUGAGCUCCACGUUCAUCGAGGAGUCUGCUUCUUUUCUCUCUACCCCUCCCCCCACCCCCACUCAUGCAUGCUCGCCCUCUCUCUCUCUCAAAUAAUUCUGGAAAAAAAAAAUUCUUUAAGCUAAAUGCUGAUCUAUCAUUGUAAUUCAUCAAGUUGCUUGGUUAUACAUGUGUACAAUUAUACCUAGCAAAACUAUAUAUGAAUUUGUUCAUUGACUCAGCAAUGCCAAUUCUAGGACUCUAUCCCACAGAUAUAGUAGCAGAAAUAUGAAAAGGUAUAUGCCCAGGACUAUUCAAUUAUAGGACUGCUUGUAGCACCAAAAGAAAGGAAACACUCUGAUAUGUCCAUAUAAGGGGAUUGGUUGAAUAAACUAUGGUACUUGCACACAGUGAAAUACUAUACAGCUAUAACAAGGAAUGAGGAAUAUCUCUAUAUACCACUAUAGACUAAUCUUCAGGAUACAGUGUUAAGUGAGAAAAGCAAGUAGAGAUAAGUGUUCUUUGUAUGCUACCAUCUAAGAAAAGAGGAACUAUAACAUUGUGUGUACAUACACUUGCUUACAUUAAAAAAAAAAAAGGAAAGAUUAAACCAUAAUUUUUUUUUAAAGAUUUUAUUUAUUUAUUUGAGACAGAGAGAAUGAGAGACAGCAUGAGAGGGAGGAGGGUCAGAGGGAGAAGCAGACUCCCUGCCAAGCAGGGAGCCCAAUGCGGGACUCGAUCCCGGGACUCUAGGAUCAUGACUUGAGCCUAAGGCAGUCGCUUAACCAACUGAGCCACCCAGGCGCCCCAAACCAUAAUUUUUUUUAAAGGAAGGUUACCUAUAAGGACAAGGAGAAAAUAUUAUGAUGAGGACAGGAAUAGAAACUAGGCUUAUUUAAAUAUAUUUUUUAUAUUUGACUCUGGAAACCUAUUCACUUAAUUAUAAAAUGAAAUUAACUUAUUUAUAAAAUAAAAUUAAUUGUACAUGGUCUCAAAACUGAAAUAAAAUGAAGCAAAUAAACCUAAUAGUAUAUUUCAUAACACACAGAGGGGAACCUUUUCAAGAGACCUUAAAACACAGUAAUUUGGGGUGCUCGGGUGGCUCAGUAGGUUAAGCAUCACCUUCAGCUCAGGUCAUGGGUUCCUGCUCAACGGGGAGCCUGCUUUUCCCUUUCCCUCUCCCCCUCCCCCCUUCUUGUGCUCUCUCUCUCUCUCAUGCUCUCUCUCUCAAAUAAAUAAAAUAUUUUUAAAAAACAGUAAUUUGACUAUACAUCUGUAGGGAGAUAUUUUCUAAAAACAAAGAAAUAGAAAAGUUUUUUUUUUCACUCUUCUCUGUAUUGCUGUGAUGAUGUUUGUAUAUGUAUUCUGGUUUUUUAAAUGUGAAAUGUGAGAUAAAUAAAAUGAGUAAUUAUGUGAUGUUCUAAUUAUAUCAUCUUAAUUGUUCUUGAAAACCAGGAUUCCCAACAUGGAGGAAAGGAAAUGCAGAUGUAAGAUACAAGUAGAUAAGUAAAAUUCUGUAAUCCCGAAUUUGAAUUAGAAGCAUCAUGAUGCAUUGUCUUAUUUUUUACCCUGCCUCUGAAAAGGCCUAGGAAUAACCAAUCCAGUAGCAAUGAGUACACCUAAUGCCUAAAUUAUGGCAUUUCAAGACCAGUAUUCCUUGGAGAAAUGUCUCAUUCUGAGUCCAGGUCAGGACCAAGAAAUGUCUUUUUUCUAAAAAACAACAAAACCCAAACCCAGUGUUUUAGUUGUAAAAUAUACAUAGCUCUGAAAGAGCCUAAACACAGUGACCAAUCUAGCAACUGUGAGCAUCUCUAGCUCUCAGAUUAUGAUCUUGAAAUACCAUUUUCCACUAAAAGGAAUCAAGGCUCCUUGCAGAUAUUGCUGACUCCAGGAUUAGAGCAAGAAAAACAUCAGUUUGAGCCAGAGGAAAUUGCCAAUUAUUGCCCAACCUAAUACAAAAUGAGUCCAGAAUAUCUUUUCAUACAGGUCACAAGGAAGAUGUAUUAGUUUCCCUGGGCUAUUGUAACAAAGUCCCACAAACUGGGUGACUUAAAAUAAUAGAAAUUUAUUUUCUCACACUCCUGGAACCUGGAAGUCUGAAAUCAAGGUGUCAGCGAGACCAUGCUGUAUCUGACCCUCUAAGUAGAAUCCUUCCUCACCUCUUCCCAGCUUCUGGUGUUGGCCUGCAAUCCUUGGUGUUCUUUGGCUUAUGGUCGCAUGCCUCCAAUCUCUGCCUCCAUCUGUACAUGGCAUUCUCCCUGUGUCUUUACAUUGUUUUCCCUCUAUGCAUAUCUGUCUCUGUGUCCCAAAUUCCCCUUUUUGUAAGGAUGCCAGUCAUACUGGAUUAGGGUUUACCCUAAUGACCACCCUAUUUCCAAAUAAGGUCACUUUCUGAGAUACUGGGGUUCAGAUUUCAACAUCGCUUUUUUGGAGGACACAAUUCAACCCAUAACAGAAGAUACCAAAGACUGCUGGUGUCGUGUCAAGAGACUUUAGGAGCCGGGCGCCUGGGUGGCUCAAUUGGUUAAGCGACUGCCUUCGGCUCAGGUCAUGAUCCUGGAGUCCCUGGAUCAAGUCCCGCAUCGGGCUCCCUGCUUGGCAGGGAGUCUGCUUCUCCCUCUGACCCUCCCCCCUCUCAUGUGCUCUCUCUCAUCCUCUCUCACACAAAUAAAUAAAUAAAGUCUUAAAAAAAAAAAAAAAGACUUUAGGAGCCAACAUGAAGAGGCCUCUACUGGCCAAACGUGAGACACUUGGAGUACCAAUAGGAUAGAACUUAAUAGCAAGUUGAAGUACAUCAAAUAUUUAAAUCCAUUAAUUUAUAAUACUGUUAAAGAAACAUGAAAAUGCUAAUUGGUCACUAUUGGAGGAUGCUGGGGAAUUAACUCAUUAUUUUGAAGAGUGGUAAAUGAAGAAAACUAAUCAAGGACUUAUCUAGCCUUUCCUACAUGAACUCUACCACCGAGUACCAAAUGGUAGAUAUCGUGGGUUGAAUGUGACCCCCAAAAGAAAAUGUCCAUGUCCUAAUCCUCAGAACCUGUGAAUGUUACCUUACUUGUAAAAAAAAAAAAAAAAAUGGUCUGUUUUUUCUUAAGAUUUUAUUUAUUUAUUUGAGAAAGAGAACAAGAAAUAGAGAGAAGGAGUGGGGACAGUGGGAGAGAGAGAAGCAGACUUCUGGGCUGAGCCGGGAGCCUAACACGGGGCUCGAUCCCAGGACCCGGAGCUCAUGAGCUGAGCUGAAGGCAGAUGCUUAACCAACUGAGCCACUCAGGUGCCCCAGAAAAAGGGUCUUUCAGAUAUAAUUAUGUUAAGGAGUUUGUGAGGAGAUCAUCCUGGAUUACCCUGGUAGGCCCUAAAUCUGAUGACAGGUGUCCUUAUAAGAGAUACAUAGAGGUGAGCAAAAGAGAAGGAAGAGGUAAUGUAACCACAGUGGUAGAAGCUGGAUAGUUGCAGCCACAGGUAAUGCCGCAGCCACCAGAAAUUGGAAGAGGCAAGGAACAGAGUCUCCCCUAGAGCCUCCGGGACGAAUGUGGCCCUGCCAAUACCUUUAUCUUAGACUUCUGGCCUCCAGAACUGCAAGAGAAUAAAUUUCUGUUGUGUUUAAGCCACCAAGUUCAUGGUUAUUUAUUUCAACAGCCGCAGGAAACUAAUACAGUAGAUGAGAGGAAGUUUCUCAUUGAAGAAGUAGUCCAACUAAUAAGUGAAUAAAGAAUGAGAAAGUAUCUCCAUUUCGCAACCUCUAAUGAAUUGAGAUGGAGGCAUUAAACACUGACACCUGCUGACAUCACAAAAAGGGAAACAACCAGAUGUAUAUGUGUCCUGAUAAAGAACAUGCUACCACCAAUAAGGUAGUCUUACCUUCACGGCCACCACCCAAAAUUAUAAACCCUGAAUCUGACUAGGCUUGUAGUUCCAACUAACAAUUUUCAAAAAAUACAGAAGGUGCAAGGACAUUGCAAACUACAUAUCCGGAAUGCAAUCAGCAAAAUCCAGACGCUGGGAAGCUAUAGGACAAAUGGUCCAGUUUCUUCAACAAAUAAAUUCAGGGAGAGAGAGAGAGGAUCCUAUAGAUUAAAAGACAAGAGUUAUAUCAAUCAAUCACAAUGUGUGGAACUUAUUUGGAUCCUAAUUUAAAUAACUGUAAAAGAAAUGACAAUUAUGACACAAUUGGAAAUUUGCAUACUUCCUGGAUAUUUGAUGAAAUUAAAGAGUUACUGAAUUAAAUUAAAUUGUUCAUGUAAAAUAUCAAAAAUAGGUCCAGUGAAGCUUUAUUUUACAACCAGUGAUGGUUCUUUUUCCAGACGGCUUGUCUUCCAGUUGAAAAACAGUUCAUAUCCCCAAAAAGGCCUGGUACUGUGUUAUAAAGAUCAUGUUGAACAGUGGAGCAAAUGGGAAUUAGAACAUACUUCUGAACUGAGUUCACCAAUAAAGCAAAGCCAUCUCUCUUUCGGACAUGUAGGUUUUUUUUUAUUUUUUCCAUCUGUAAAAUUAGAAUCAAAGAAGGAAGCAAUUCCAAGUUUGAGAUGAAACACAUACUACACUCUGAAUUAGUAAAUUUUUCACCAGUUUCUUUGACGUUAAAUCAUUUGAAUAACUGAUUUCUGUUUCUAAAUUUGUUGAAAAUCAUCUAUUUCCUGAAAUGACUCAGACUGUUUAAAACUAGAGGCCUUAUAUAAAUCUCUAGUCAAGAGAUAUAAUUGCUCAUUUGUCAAGUGUAGAAUGCAUUACCAUUCCUCAAUAAAUGUUAAAUUGAAAUGAUAGAUUUUCCAGCCUUCAGAUAUAUUGUAGUGUGUGAUAAAAGACAAUCAAUACUGUUAGACAAAAUACACCUGAGCCCAGAUAGAACACAGAACUAGGAAACCACAGUCCCUGGGUGGUGUUUCAUUUCUUCAUAUAUUUUGUAGCCUCCUUAGGGAUAUUUAUCACUAACAAUCAUUUUAUUUUCCAAGGAUAGAAUUCAUUACAUAAUAGCUUCUUAAUUUUCUCUAAUUUUAGUGAACGAUACAAUCAAUUCCAAAUCCCUUCUUCCUGUCUCCCCUCUUCCCCGAACUUACCUUCCUUUCUCCUUCCCUCCCUCUUUGCCUCUCAUUGUCUCCAUUACUGUUCCUUUGCUUUUCUUUUUCCUUUUUAAUACCGUAGUUACAGAAUACCAAACAUAGCCUCUUUUCAGUGCCCUUAAUGUAUUUUCACCCUUCCAAUAUUGGCUUAAAAAAUCAAAUCGGAAUUUCUGUCUGACUUUAUAAAAAUGUGAUUGGAUAAUGAUUAUCAGAUACAUACCAUUUUCAAAAUCUCAGUAUGUUCUUAGUCUCCAUAUUUAGCCCUCUGAUUUUUUUUCCUGAACCAAUCAUGACAUUCAAAAAAUAUUUUA